rnacentral:rRNA from 1 species
CAGUGGCGUAUAUUAAAGUUGUUGCAGUUAAAAAGCUCGUAGUUGGAUUUUUGGCUGUGCGCGCGGUCCCUCGCGGUACUUCGUGCGCGGCCAUGUUUGGGUGGAGCCCGCGUGGCAUUAGGUUGUCGUGCGGGUGGUUGCCCAUCCUUUACUGUGAAAAAAUUAGAGUGUUCAAAGCAGGCUUAUGCCGUUGAAUAGAUUAGCAUGGAAUAAUGAGAUAGGGCCUCGGCACUAUUUUGUUGGUUUGCGCGCUGAGGUAAUGAUUAGUAGGGACAGUUGGGGGUAUUCGUAUUCCAUUGUCAGAGGUGAAAUUCUUGGAUUUCUGGAAGACGAACUACUGCGAAAGCAUUUACCAGGGAUGUUUUCAUUAA